rnacentral:tRNA from 1 species
GGGCUCGUAGCUCAGCCUGGUAGAGCAUCGGCCUCUUAAGCCGAGUGUCGCGGGUUCGAAUCCCGUCGGGCUCA